GAUGAACGCUGGCGGCGUGCUUAACACAUGCAAGUCGAACGAAGCACCUUGAUUUGAUUCUUCGGAUGAAGAUCUUGGUGACUGAGUGGCGGACGGGUGAGUAACGCGUGGAUAACCUGCCUCAUACAGGGGGAUAACAGUUAGAAAUGACUGCUAAUACCGCAUAAGACCACAGUACCGCAUGGUACAGGGGUAAAAACUCCGGUGGUAUGAGAUGGACCCGCGUCUGAUUAGGUAGUUGGUGGGGUAACGGCCUACCAAGCCGACGAUCAGUAGCCGACCUGAGAGGGUGACCGGCCACAUUGGGACUGAGACACGGCCCAAACUCCUACGGGAGGCAGCAGUGGGGAAUAUUGCACAAGGGGGGAAACCCUGAUGCAGCGACGCCGCGUGAGCGAUGAAGUAUUUCGGUAUGUAAAGCUCUAUCAGCAGGGAAGAAAAUGACGGUACCUGACUAAGAAGCACCGGCUAAAUACGUGCCAGCCGCCGCGGUAACAC
rnacentral:rRNA from 1 species